GGGGGGGGGGGAGGGGGGCAGAGGGGCGGGGAGGGGGAGAAGGUGGGGGGCGGGAGUCUCCGGGCCUGAGCCGCCCGUAGGAGCGCACGCCGCAGCGCAGCCGGACGCUCCCCGGCAGCUGUUUAACGCGCGCCUCUAGGAGGAAAGUGGCUCCGCCAACCCGAGGGGCGUCCCUGCAGGCUAGUGAAACGUCCCGCGGCCAAGAGGACGCGGAGACACGGGGAGGCGGGCGCAGGCAGGCUGGUGGAGCACAACAAAGCAGAGGCGCGCGAGGGAGCUCGAGGUUGCCCGGCUGCCGGCGGCCGAGCGCCAGCGGGGCUGUGGCCAUCUCCACGCGCUCAGGACAUGGCAAGUUUGUCAACUCCCGCCUCUGUGUCCAGCGCCUAGCUGCCCACGAAGUGACAGCACGGCAGGGUCUGCCCCCAGAGGGACGGCGCCCGGCCCGUCCCCGGCCCGCUGCAAAAUGCUCCACUGCAGACCAGGGAGAAGUUGGCUGUGGCCCGACUGCAGCGGGAAGUUACCCAGAGAAGGAAUGAGGGCGUCAUGGUAAGUGCUAUCUGGCUCCCGGAUCCUGAACCCGCCCUUCCAAGGCCCCUGGCGGGAA
rnacentral:lncRNA from 1 species